CCCCGGUCGCACAACCCGACUUUUAGCCUCUAGUUUUAUCAAAAAUUCCUAUGGGCUCGUUUGAGAGAAGUACUUCGGCAGCAAAACUUUUCCACUCCUUGGGGAUCAUAGCUUCCGAGGGUACUCUUGGACAAUGAAUACGACUUUGGCUUUGUAUACCUGUGCAUACACUCUUUCUAUUUACAACUGGGUAUACUGCACCUUGCCAGAAAAUCACUGGUUUCCUUCUUUUGUUAGGGAAACAAGGACGUACAUAAACUCUAUAAUCGAUCUGGAGCCUACUCUUUUUUUAUAUAUAUAGCUUUUAUCUUCGCCAGCAAAGCUUCUCUUCUCCUCUUGAGUGAAGUCGUGGGUCGUUUCAAUAACUGGGUUUGCUGAUUUCGCCAUAUUCAAUAUUGGAGCCACUUGACGAUGAGUGGAUGCCGAUAAUAAUAUCUUGAA